AGCUCCAAUAGCGUAUAUUAAAGUUGUUGCGGUUAAAAAGCUCGUAGUUGGAGUUCUGCCAGGUGCCACCUGUCCGCCCCAGUGGUGAGUACGUGGUGCGCAUUUGGCCCUUUCAAGGGGAGCGUAUUUGCACUUAAUUGUGUGGUGCGGGAUCCUUGACUUUUACUUUGAGGAAAUAAGAGUGUUCCAAGCAGGCUCUCGUCGUGCAUAGCUCAGCAUGGAAUAAUAGCAUUGGACCUCGAUUCUAAGCUGUUGGUUGCCAGAAGCGAGGUAAUGAUGAAGAGGGAUAGUUGGGGGCAUUCGUAUUCCGCAGAGAGAGGUGAAAUUCUCAGACCCGCGGAAGACGAACCACUGCGAAAGCAUUUGCCAGGGAUGUUUUCA
rnacentral:rRNA from 1 species